GACGAACGCUGGCGGCGUGCCUAAUACAUGCAAGUCGAACGAGAGCGCCCGGUGCUUGCACUGGUCAAUCUAGUGGCGAACGGGUGAGUAACACGUGGGUAACCUGCCCAUCAGAGGGGGAUAACAUCCGGAAACGGAUGCUAAAACCGCAUAGGUCUUCGAACCGCAUGGUUUGAAGGGGAAAAGAGGCGCAAGCUUCUGCUGAUGGAUGGACCCGCGGUGCAUUAGCUAGUUGGUGAGGUAACGGCUCACCAAGGCCGUGAUGCAUAGCCGACCUGAGAGGGUGAUCGGCCACAUUGGGACUGAGACACGGCCCAGACUCCUACGGGAGGCAGCAGUAGGGAAUCUUCCGCAAUGGACGCAAGUCUGACGGAGCAACGCCGCGUGAGUGAAGAAGGUUUUCGGAUCGUAAAACUCUGUUGUUAGAGAAGAACAAGUGCUAGAGUAACUGUUAGCGCCUUGACGGUAUCUAACCAGAAAGCCACGGCUAACUACGUG
rnacentral:rRNA from 1 species